AAACAGCAGACUAGGAGAAGUUCUCACAGUUCCAAAUCACAGCAAAGUACGUGAUGAAAUAUAGCAAGAUGAACUAGGUACAUAUGGGCUGAUUACAUCUCAAGCUAAUACUGCAAACAAGGAACUCCCAGGUUUUCACAAAUUCCCUCUGCCACAAGUCACUCAUUUUGUCACCAUGUGUUUCAAAAUCAAUAUGAGAAAGAAAAAGGGUGGAGGGUAGGAAGCUGUGAAACAGGCUGUGGCUGGGAAAAUGCCCCGUCAUACCUUUAGUUGAAAAUAUACUCCAAAAAAUAUCAGAAGCUAUUCUAGGAAAAUCACUUAUCAAUGAGAUUGCCAUAUUCAUACCUGGGCAGCACAAUGAGUAGUUUUGUUUGAUGUGUUUGUAAACUAUUAGAAGUCUUCAUGGCAAGUGUGAAAAUCAGGAAUUCUGUCACUGUGUUAAGCUAGUUUAUAAACAGAGCAUAUGUUACAUUCAGAUUUUUCUGAGCUGAGGAGGGUUAGCUUCUCACACAGAGAAUCCCAAUGCCCUCAGCAUGUGUUCAGCUUGUACUCAGUAGUAACCUCUUCAGAAAGGCAAUUCUAAUAGGGAGGGAUCAUUAAGGCCGUAGUAGGGCUUUAGGCACCUCGGCAGCACAUCUGUAUUUUACCUGGAUUUACUCCCCCCCACACACAGCAGGAGUCCACUCAGGAGCCAGGGCAGCACUUACUGUGUAAGCAUUUAUUGUGUAAGCAGAAUGCUAUGAUGUAGCAGCUGUGUUACAAUUAUCACUGUUUGUCCAAAAACCACGUGAACAUGUUUGCUGGACUCAGUACCAACUGAGCCAAGGUGGUUUAAACAAGAGAAUCACUUUCCUUUCUCCGUGAGUCCAGAGCUUUUAUUUUAGUCACUUGAUUUUGCCGCACUUGGAUUUCUCCAUAAGAUGUUGACAUCUACACCAGCAGAAAACCGGUAGCCUGCACUUUUCUGCAGGGAUGCUUUAGCCCGAUCAACAUAGACUUCAGCAGUCUCUGCAAGGAACGUGUAGCACUACAACUUUAGCCUCAAGGUAUAGGCACUGAGAUUGUGUCCCAGGAAUGUGGCUAAGGAAAAUCAAUUUUUUCUUCAACACCCUUCAAAGACUGUGCUAAAUAGGAUAUAUGAGAUACUCCUUUUCACUGUUUUCAGGGGCUUCCGCCUCUGCUGUGGAUGGCUACAAAGGUCUCUUCCACACAAGACAAACUGAUGAACUCAGUUUGUAGAGGGAAGGGAAUGGAGGAGAAGCUGGCUGUACACAAAGUGCUGUUACAUCCGCAAAGCAAAUACACAUGCAGUGACCUUAGGUGUUAUCUGUAAGUGUCACAGAACUAGCCUCUUGCACCCAAAUGCUGCACCGCUGAAACCACCAAGAAUUUUUUAUGGUGUUCAGUAGGUAUCAAGAAGAAAGAAAAACUUUACAACAAAAUUAAUCAAAGAAAAGCCAAGUAUUAUCCUCAGAGAGCUGCAUCUCAGUCUUAUGACAAGUACAGAAAAAAGAAAAAAAAAAAGGAAGAAAAAUUCACGACAGCAUCUUGGACAAAUUCUCAAGUGUGCUGUAACAUAAUCAGUGUGUUCAAAGUCCCUUGCAGAGAAUAAGCAGGCUAUCUUGAUUUGUGUCAUGGUCCUCAGUGUUUUAUCUGACUCUGCUAAGUAAGUUUCAAAUCACUGUGUCAGUAAAAAAGAAAACCAAAGCAUUUUCUUAUUCCACUGUCAGAUUUUAAGUCCCUGGCAGGUAGAAGUGUAGAUCCAACAUGUCUGGACAGAUACAUUCUGCAGUGCUCAGAAUCCAAAAAGCAUUUUUUCUAUGGGUUUGCUCACUUCUUUGCCCCGUUCCCGCUGAUGUCAUAGCAGUAUGACAAGGUUAGCUUUGACCUAAACUGGCUGAGGAUUUAUGACAGCCAGAGAUGUGGCACAGUAAGUUUGGCAAUCCCAAGGAAAACAGCCUGUUUGCAUGUGGGACCUCAAAGCUACAGCUACUGAUUUUGCUGGGAGGCUAAAGCAUUAAGAUUGGCAUGAAUCUCUGUUGAAUUUUUGGGGGGUCUGCUUAAAGUGAAAAAGAUGUAUAGAAACCUCCCUUCAGAAUGCUGUGCCAUUUCCUAGCCUUCUUUCUUCACCUUUUGCCCACUCCUAUCACCUCCGAAACCAUGCUGCCUUUGGGAGCAGAAGUAUGUGCAGGGGAUGGCAGCUCAGGAACAGCCCUGCUUCCUUGCAGCAGCUCUGAGCAGGCUGCUUCCUGCUUUGAAAUGUCCUUUGCAGGCAGCAGAAAUGGCAAUGCUGGUGAUUUAGUAUUGACUGAGGUUGACAAGCGCAACCCGCUAGGUACUUUCUAAAGGCAGAGGAUGACACAGUCUUAUCUAAGCAUAAAGGGUGGGGGAAAAGUAUGUCCAAGAAAAUUGAUCCGGGUGCUGAGAGACAUAAGUCUAAUUAGUUAUGGUGGAUGUUUAUGCUUUUCUCUCUCUCAUUUUUCAAUUAAAGGUAACUUUCACAUAUCCUUUUGCUUCUCCCA